UACGUAGGGUGCGAGCGUUAAUCGGAGUUACUGGGCGUAAAGCGUGCGCAGGCGGUUUUGUAAGCCAGAUGUGAAAGCCCCGGGCUUAACCUGGGAAUGGCAUUUGGGACUGCAAGGCUUGAGUGCGGCAGAGGAGACUGGAAUUCCUGGUGUAGCGGUGAAAUGCGUAGAUAUCAGGAGGAAUACCGAUGGCGAAGGCAGGUCUCUGGGCUGACACUGACGCUCAUGCACGAAAGCGUGGGGAGCAAACAGG
rnacentral:rRNA from 1 species